GACAGAGGGUGCAAACGUUGCUCGGAAUUACUGGGCGUAAAGCGCGUGUAGGCUGACCGGAAAGUCGGGCGUGAAAGCCCUGGGCUCAACCCAGGAACUGCACUCGAAACUCCCGGUCUAGAGUGGUGGAGAGGGAAGUGGAAUUCCUGGUGUAGAGGUGAAAUUCGUAGAUAUCGAGAAGAACACCGGUGGCGAAGGCGGCCAACUGGACGGUGACUGACACUGAGACGCGAAAGCGUGGGGAGCAAACAGG
rnacentral:rRNA from 1 species